AAAAAGAGUCAAAGUGGGAUUUAAAGUAAUAAAUAAUAAAAACUGGAACUGAUUGCUCCCUCACUAUUGGUAUGGUAUUUGUAUUCCAAUUUAUAAUUCACAAUAUUGGUUACCCACAAGUGUAAUGAAUAUUUUUCAGAAGUGAGAUGCUUCUGUUGGAAUGAUUUGGAUUCUAAAAGCAGAGCUAGUUAAAAAUAGCUAAAGAUUCAGUCUGGCUAAUUCACAGUAUUUUUCAAAUUUAGACAAAUGCACAUAUGUUGGACAAUCACAACUUGCAUGAAUACAGUUCAAAAUAACCCAAUGCUUUUGACAAGAUUGCAUUCAGUCAAAAGUUUACACGGACACAAAGGAGAUAGCCUCGCCUCAACACACUGAACUCUGUUCUUUCCAAUAGCUGGCUAAAGCAACAGAGUGAGUGGAAGUGAGUAUUGAACCCAAGAAAGUGGGAGGAAGUGAGUGAGUGACUGAGUGAAAACAAGGGUAGAGUUUGAAGGUUGCUGGAUCACUACAGGAAGAAGGCAACGUGAAAGUGAGUUUAAAAUCAGAGGCAAAGUACUGUAGAUGCUAGAAAUCUGAAAUAAGAAGGAAAACGUUGUCAGAACUUUGCAGGUGAAAAGGCAGCCUUAGUUUGGCGACAAUCCAUUUGAAUCUGGGAAAAGUUAAGUGAAAAUAAGAGAAAGGACGAUAGGCAGAAAGGUUAUGAAGUUCUGUGAAAUAGUUGAAGGCAGGAGAGAUUAAAUGAUAAUUGGUCAAAAUGGGAGAGAAUAAUUGAAACAUUUGUAAAAAGUAAAUAGUAGUUUCCUCUGUCUUGUUACAAUUUUCACACAUUUCUUUAUUUGCUGUCUGCUGUUUCCAUAUUUGGUUCAGUGCCACCAUUAUGAUUUACUAAUCAUUUUUUAAUGUUCAAAUAAUUAUUUUUAUCAUAAUUCUUAUGUUCACUUUUCCUUUGGUAAAUGUUUUGUUUGGCCAAAGCUUCUUUUAAUAUUUGUGAGAACAUGUUCAUUUCUCCUUAAUUGGGAAAUUCACUUUUGAUUUCUCUGUAGAAGCUUUCUCCAGCACACAGCAGUGGUAUCCUCUCAUACCUGUACGUAUUGUUGCCUUUCAGUUCCAAUACAGAGACUUCUAAUAAUCAUAAGCUUUCUCAUACCUGGUGUUCAUCAGCGUAGUAUAAUGGGUGAGCAGAUAAGCAGUUAAUUCUAGUCAAAUUCCACUUAGAAAAAUGUUCUUUACUUAUUUGGAUUAUUUUUGAUCGCUUCAGUAGUUUUCUUUGCUCUUUCAGGUUCAACACACUACUUGCAUCACUAAAAUGAAGACCAAUGUGACCUUACCUAGUCAUGUGGGAAAACAACCUUCCCCCAUCUCCCAUGUCACAUGCUUGCUUUGCUAACUCAGUAAUUAAUUUCACUCAUUUUUAUAGUGAGAAGUAAAGUAACAAUCAUUAAAUGAAUGAAGUAAAUCCUUUGCAGUUUGAAUUAUUGGUCACCAAAUCUUGAGAAGCACGUUACAUUACAUUGAAAAGCAUUUCAGAUAUCACUCUCAAACAUACAUUACUAUGAUAAACCUAGCAUCUCUUUGAAAUGGCAAUUAAUUACAUCAUUUAUGGAUGGGCAGGAUUUCCUUGGUGAAUAAACCUAUAUUUUCAGCUCUACUUCCAUUACUCAGAGGUUACAUGGCAUCAAUACUUCACUGGCUAAAAAAAUGCUUUGGUAAAUCCUAAAGGGAAUGUGAGUAGCACUUUAUAAAUGCAAGUUACUUCAUUACUUAAUCAAGAUUUUAAUGACUGACCUUUGCACUAUGCCAACAGGUUUUAACAUGCACCUUAAUCUUUGUUAGCUCUGAAAACAAUCUCUAAAUAAUGAAUACCUACAGAACAGAAAUGAUGAUUCAUGAUAAUUAGUUAUCAAGCUAGACUUUACCUUUCAGUAUUCAAUGACUGAAAGCAGCGGCACAAGUCCCUCAGCAAAGCAGCAACUAAACAUUAUUGCAUAGGAAGAGAACAAUUAGCCCCAUUCAAUGUAAAAUGGAAAUCAAAAUUAUCCAAUACAUGUGCUAAUUUAUAUGGUACAUUUUACUGCAGAAAUACCUCUUGUUAUCAUGGGUCAAGAUAUCAACUGCACUGGAUAUAAUUGUGCGAUUUGAAAUAACUGUGCUGUGAGGUUGUAAUUUCUUAGCUGAGGACAAAGAGGUAGGAAUGGAGCCAGUAGGGCUGUAAUCUUUCUACUGUCAUGACAGGUGAAACUCCAGUGGAAACUGUUAAAGAUGGUGAGAGCAUCAGAUGAGAUACGGAAGAGAGCACCGGGUAAGCGAACCAAACACAAGGCAGGCAAGAGUGCCAGGUACAAGACGGAAAGAGAAACUUUUACAAGAUAGGCAAAAGCAGCGGAUACAAUUGUGAGAGCACGAACAAGACAAGCAAGAGCAGCAAAGACAAGGCAGACAAGAGCAGUAAAUCGGAAUCAGACAAGAUUAUCAGAUGAGAUAAAUAAAGAUUCUAGAAGAAUGCAUUCAUUUUUAGGGCCAAAGGUUGUGCUUCCAUGUUGUAUAUUUAUGAACCUAUAAUUCAAAGGAAAUCAUCUUAUAUCACUUUGAACAUUGUUUUGACCUGUCUUGCAACUCUUAAGGACCUGUAUACUCUAAAUCCCAUUUUCUCUUCCAUAUCGCUCAAUAUCCUCCCAUUUAUAAUGUUUUCUUGCCUCUCCAAAUGUACAUAUUACAUCUUAUCUCUCUGAACUGAAUUCUACUUUCUUUUAUGCUCAACUGACCAUUCAUAUCUUUCUUUAUCACUGUCAACCACAUGGCCAGUUUUUGUAUCAUCUGCAAAUACCUUUAUCACAUCCCCACAUGACAAAAUAUCUUUAUUUGCAGAUAACACAAAUCAUUAAUAUGCAUUAGACAACGUAAGUCUUGAGUCCUAGCCCUGUGGAAAUUUUUUCUUCUAAUCACAAAGACACCUGUUAAAUAUCUUUGCUAUUACACUGUCAGUUUUCCACUUUCCCUUGCAUCCAGAUGGGUUCUCGGUUUGGAAGGGACACAACACCUGUUGCUCAUAUCAUCAAGAAACCAGUUACACUGUAGAGGAGUUAGUUGUUGGUUGUCUUCUGUAACUGAAUAUUAGAAAAUGGUUUUGAAUUUGACAGUGCCCAUAAGAUUCAGAUCAAAAUCUGGGCAAAAGAAGUUAUAUUUCUCUACAAAGUGGAAAACAGGGUAACAAUGAGCUGAAUACAAAUUCCCCAAAUUGUCCUUAUAUGUAGUGACUAAAGCUGUGGGACAUGAAGAAGCUAAAGGGGACAUGGGAACAGCAAGCUGAAUUUCUGAUGAAUCCUGAAGGGAUGAACAAUUAACAUCUAAGGACACAAACUAAGAUCACUAUGGUCCAAAACUUUUGUGUAUACAUAAUGUUUUUCUGUCUUUUGAAACGAAGAUGAGUAAUGUGUUUAACAUUGGUCACAAAGGGCAGGCUGUAACUUCAGACUGCUGGCUUGUGAAGCAUUGUGAUGUCAUCAGCUGUGGCCUGGCUUGACGUGGAGGCCUGUAAAUCCAGGAUAGGAGUGAUCAGCUGAACUCUGUUCAGCUUUGACUUUGUGAAGCCUCUUGAGUUCCUCUCCUACAGCUUACUUAAAGCAUUCAGACAAUACAUUUAUACUCUGUGAACAAUUAACCAUUGAAUUAUGUUUUGAUGUCCCCAGGCUUCUGAGAUAAGAGAUAAUCCAUUUUGCUGAACAAAAGUAAAACAACAUACAGUACAGUAUGUGGAAAAGCAACUUUAUGUGGUUAGGUCACACACUAGACAUGAUCUCAUUGAACAGUGGGGAGGAUAUUUCUGGAGCAGCUGUUCAAUGUUUUAAUGCUGCUUUAUCACACCAACAGGCAAAUAAUGGUAUCUACAUACCUUGACGACAAUAAUUUUCUGUCCUAUUGUCACCAGCACCACUUAUCAUAUUUUAGCUAAAGUGAUCUCACUAACUAAUCUUGUUAGUGGCGAUUCCUUAACAUUGUUUCUGCCUUCUAUUCCCACGUUGCUUAACACGGCAAUGUUUUGGCUAGUUUCUGAAGUUUUCAUUACAAUGCCAAAUUGGCUCACACAGCAACAUGGUCCUUCUCAAUUAUGAUUCAUUGGUGAGGGUGGGUGGGCUGUGUAGGAGUAAUGUUCAGCAGAUAUUGCUACAUGACUGUUUCUUGUUGCUCCUGUACCUAUUCCUGUCUCUAUACUUACUUUUGCCUCCACUUGAUAUUUACCAACCACUUACUAUAAAAAUAAAGCACCAUGGAAUUAUGCUUGCAAGAUGGCACCAGUGAACCACGGGAAUGUUCUGCAGGCCACAUACAGUACCUCUUACGAAGUAUACCUCUAUUGAAUUACUCUCACUGCAAUGCGUAGAAUGUAAUUUCUCUUUAAGCAAUGUACUUUUAAAUUGGCUUGAUGAACUAUAGGUUUCACAAUCAUCUGAAGGGCUUGGUCGACGAAACGGGUAUUGCACCUUCAAGCAGAUGAAGGUUCAUCGCCAUGACUGGAGGUGAGGCAGGAGUGGGGGGGGGGGGGGGGGAAUUCCAAGCCAGGCUAAAAUGCAGAGGGAUGAGGCCCCUUCUAUCCUGCAUCUUGUUAGCAAAUGUGCAGUUGCUGGAAAACAAAAUUGAGGAUUUGAGGGCAAAAUUGCUGUAUUGGAGGAAAUGAGAGAUUGUCAGAGAGGCAUGGCUUUCUUCAAGCACACCAGAAACAGCCAUCAGACCCGAAGGCUUCUCGAUUUGUAGAAUGGACUUAACUGCUGAUUCAGAAAAGGCAAAAGCAGGAGGUGUGGUGCUCUUGGUGUGCUCUGAUUUGGUGGUUUUGUCAAACUCGUGCCCCCCUGACCUUGAACACCUAAUGGUCAAAUGUCAUCUAUUCUACUUACCUAGGGUGAUUUCGCUCCAUAACCCCGACUGCAGUUUACAUACCACAGUUAACUAUAAUCAAGCACUUGAGAUACUGCAUAAUGCUGUCUCCAAACAAUAAACAGUCCAUGCCAACAGGUUUGUUUGAAGAAAAUGCAGCCCAAUUACCAUCAGCAUGUAACCCUGUAGCACUAGAGGUCCCAACACACUAGACCACUGUUAUACUGAGAAAAGGAGUGCCUACCUCUCCAUGCCCAGACUGCAUUUUGGGAAAUUGGACCACCUGGCUGUCCUUCUCCUAUCUGCAUACAGGCAGAGGCUAAAGAGCAAGGCUCCGGAAAUGAGGACAACGAAGAGGUGGUCAUGGGAGGUUGAGGAGGGGCUUCAGCAUUGCUUUGAGUUGGUGGACUGGGCCAUGUUCAAGGACUCAUCUGUGGAUCUGAAUGAAUACACCAUGGUUGUCAUGGACUUUAUUAAUAAAAUAGUUGUAGACAAUUGCGUCCCCACAAAAUCAUUUACAGUCUUCCCCAACCAGAAGCCCUGGAUGAACCAUAAGAUCUGCAAUCUGCUGAGAGUGGAUGAGAGGCAUUCAAGUCUGGUGACCAAGGAAGUUACAAGAGGUCCAGGUAUGAUCUCCAGAAAGUCAUCUCACAGGUGAAGUGGUAAUUCCAGACUAAACUUGAAUCAACAGGCCAGUUGUGGCAGGGCUUGAAUACCAUCACCUCUAUAAAGCUAAAUCAUGACAAAGGCAACAACAGGGCUUCGCUUCCAGAUGAGCUCACUGCCUUCUAUGCUCACUUUGACCAUCAAAACAUGAGGGAGCCAUCACAAACUCCCAUAGCUCCCGAUGAUCCUGUAAUUACAGUCUCUGAGGCUGAUGCGUGAGCAGUCUUCAGGAGAGUGAACCCAUGAAAGGCAUCCGGCCCUGAUGGGUUACCUGGCCAAGUACUGAAAAUCUGAUCGACUGGCUGGAGUGUUCAAUGAGAUCUUUAAGCUCUUACUUUGGCAGUCUGAGGUACCCACCUGCUUCAAGCAGGCUCCAAUUAUACCAGUGUCUAAGAAAAACACGGUAACCUGCCUCAGUGACUAUCACCCAGUAGGACUUGCAUCCACAGUGAUGAAGGGUUUUGAGAGGUUGGUGAUGAUAUAUCUAUUCCUUCCUGAGAAGCAACUUGGAUCCAUUCCAAUUAGCCUUUUGGAGUUAUAGGUCCAUAGCAGAUGCCAUCUCAUUAACUCCUUACUAAACCCUGGAGGAUCUGGACAGCAAAGAUGCAUACAUCAGGAUGUUCUUUAUUGACUACAGCUCAGCAUUUAAUAUUGUCAUACCCUCAAAUCCAAUCAAUAAGCUUUAAGACCUUGGCAUCAAUGCCCCUUGUGCAACUGGAUCCUCGAUUACUCACUUGCAGAUCUAGUCAACUUAUAUUGGCAACAACAUCUCCUCCACAAUCUCCAUCAGCACAGCUGCAAAACAAGGCUGUGUGCUUAGCCUCCUGCCUUACUCACUUUUCACUUAUGACUGUGUGGCUAAGCGCUGCUCCAAAGCCACAUUCACACUUGCUGAUGACACCGUUGUCAUAGGCCAUUUCAAAGGUGGUGAUGAAUCAACAUAUAGGAGGGUGAGUGAAAACCUGGCUGAGUGGCGCCAUAACAGCAACCUCUUUCUGAAUGUCAGCAAGACCGAGGAGCUAAUUAUUGAGGAGGAAAUCAGGGGUCCAUGAGCCAGUCCUCAUCAGAGAAUCAUAGGUGGAGAGGGUCAGCAAUUUUAAAUUCAUGGGUGUUAUUAUUUCAGAGGACCUGGCUCUGUCCAUUAAAGAUUCAAUUUAUUUUUUCUCUCUUAACCAUUCAUUUCCCUUUUUAAAAACAAUGAUUGAAUCUUUCAUAGAACAUUAUAGCACAGAAACAGGCCUUUUGGCCCUUCUUGGCUGUGCUGAACCAUUUUUCUGCCUAGUCCCACUGGCCUGCAUCUGGACCAUAUCCCUCCAUACACCUUUCAUCCAUAUACCUGUCCAAAUUUUCUUAAAUGUUAAAAGUGAGCCCACAUUUACCACUUCAUCUGGCAGCUUAUUCCACACUCCCACCACUUUCUGUGUGAAGAAGCCCCUCCCCCAUGUUCCCUUUAAACUUUACCCCCUUCAACCUUAACCCAUGUCCUCUGGUUUUUUUCUCCCCUAGCCUCAGUGGAAAAAGCCUGCUUGCAAUUAACAAAUCUCCCCUCAUUCUUCUACGCUCCAGGGAAUAAAGUCCUAACCUAUUCAACCUUUCUCUGUAACUCAGUUUCACAAGUCCUGGCAACAUCCUUGUUAAACUUUUCUGCACUCUUUCAAUCUUGUUAAUAUCCUUCCUGUAAUUCAGUGACCAAAUCUGCACAUAAUACUCCAAAUUCGGUCUCACCAAUGUCUUGUACAACUUCAGAAUAACAUUCCAACUCUUAUACUCAAUACUUUGAUUUAUAAAGGCCAAUGUACCAAAAGCUCUUUUUACUACCCUAUCUACCUAUGACACCAUUUUUAGGGAAUUUUGUAUCAGUAUUCCCAGAUCCCUCUGUUCUACUGCACUCCUCAGUGCCCUACCAUUUACCUUAUAUGUUCUGCUUUGGUUUUUCCUUCCAAAGUGCAAUACCUCAUAUUUGUCUGUAUUAAACUCCAUCUGCCAUUUUCAGCCCAUUUUUCAGCUGGUCCAAAUCCCUCUGCAAGCUUUGAAAACCUUUCUCACUGUCUACUACAUCUCCAAUCUUAGUAUCAUCAGCAAAUUUGCUGAUCCAAUUUACCACAUUAUCAACAAGAUUAUUGAUAUAGAUGACAAAUAACAAUGGACCCAGCACUGAUCCCUGUAGCACACCACUAGUCACAGGCCUCCACUCAGAGAAGCAAUCCUCCACUACCACUCUCUGGCUUCUCCCAUUGAGCCAAUGUCUAAUCCAAUUUACUACCUCACCAUGUAUACCCAGCGACUGAAUCUUCCUAACUAACCUCCCAUCUUGUCAAAGGCCUUACUGAAGUCCAUGUAGACAACAACCACUGCCUGUCCUUCAUCCACUUUCCUGGUAACCUCCUCGAAAAACUCUAAUAGAUUUGUUAAACAUGACCUACCACACACAAAGCUGUGUUGACUCUCCUUAAUAAGUCCCUGUCUAUCUAAAUACUUGUAGAUCCUAUCUCUUAAUACUCCUUCCAAUAAUUUACCUACUACCGACGUCAAACUUACCAGCCUAUAAUUUCCUGGGUUACAUUUAGAGCCUUACUUUUAAAGUCAUCACUUCUCAAAAAGUUAGAUUUGAACUGUGUAAAUAGACUUUAACAUUUGUUAACCUGGACAAAUAAAUAACAGUGAGUGAUAGUGAACAGUAAUAAUAAUAUUUGUAGAAGCUGUUAAAGACCCUUCAUACAUGUCAUUUUCCAUAUCUUCAACGAACUUUCAUAUGCAUAGAAGAGCCAAAUAGAAAAAAACCCUUCAUUCUAGGACUGUCAAUAUUUGCUGGAAAAUGGUUUCAAUGAUUUUAUGACGAGUGACCUAGGUUCUGUCUUAAUAACAAAGUAGGGGUGCCAAAAUUAAUUAAGCAUUUUUUUUCCAAUAACAGAGUUUGUUCUGUGAAGCUGCAGUAGAGGGAUUCAAAAUCUUUAAGGCUUUUGAAUGAGCAAAUAAGAAGGAAUUGUUUCCACAGGCAAAGGCAUCCAGGGCCAGGGAACACAUAUUUAAAGUAAUUUGCAAAAGGACCUCAGAGGAGAUGAGAUGACACUUAUUUUUACCCUGACUACACAUGUCUGCACUGACUACAAAAAAUCUGGAAACAAAUUUGAAAAUAACUUUCAAAAGGGAAUAAAAUAAACUUGUGAAAACAGCAGUUUGAAGGGCCAAGCUCAACAAUCUGAAUGAUUUCCUUCUGUGCUAUACAAUUCAAUGGAAUAGGAAUGUGUCAGAUUGACUGAUUCAGAGGAAAUUGUUUUACAUGUCAUUCUGCACUAAACUGCCCAUGCCCAUACUAUUCCACUUCAUUGCCUUCAUAUGUUCCUCUUCAAGUCAAUCCAAGGGAGAAACCAUUUUCAGAAGAUAAACAGAAAUAACAAACUGUUUUCUUAUUUCCUGAUGAAGGGUCUCGGCCCGAAACGCCGACAGUGCUUCUCCCUAUAGAUGCUGCCUGGCCUGCUGUGUUCCACCAGCAUUUUGUGUGUUGUUUGUUUCUUAUUUCCUCUUGGGUUCUGGAAAGUCCAAUCCUCUUCUCUGCACCCUCUGCUCAUCCCACACCUUUCCCCUCAAAUAGGACAGACUUUAAAAGUCAGCCGUGCAGUGCUAUCACAAGUAGGCUGAAUGAGUGCGGCUUCCACAACGUUCAAGAAGCUUAGCACCAUUCAGGACACUGCAGUCCAGCUGAUGGGUAUCCCGUUCACUACCAUUCACUUAUUCCACCUGGACACACAGUACAGCAGUUUGUACACCUGCAGCAACUCACCAAGACUCCUUAGACACUAUCUUCUGAAUCCACAACUCCUACCAGCGAGGUCACGGGCAGCAAAAGCAGGGGCACACCGCCACAGAGAAGUUGCUCAUCAUUGCAUCUCUCCCCAACAGCAAAACCCACACCUCAAGGAUUGAAGCAGUAGAAGAAGGCAGUUCACCAUUACCUUCUCAAGGGCAAUUAGGGGUGGACAAUUAAAUGCUGGUUCAGUCUGCAAAGCCCACAUCCUGUGGUUGAAUAUAACAAAAAUCGUUCAACUUGGGUGGGCGGCCAGAUCAAUGUUCUUCACACGAGUCCAUCAUCACUCAUGUGUUACUUAUUGGUCCUGAUUUACAAACUGUAAACUUGAUAUGAAUUUGUCACUUUAGUUACCUAGUUCUGUGCUAUAGUCGCUAUGUUGAGUGUGCUACCAUUACAGAACCAUCUAAAAAUAUUAUUUAGGUCAUCAAACUAGGUCUUAAGAUUUUAUACUCAAACCUGCCCAAGAGACUAAUCCAAAUGAUCAUUACUGUCCAUGAACUUGCUUCUCAUGUGAUCAGUCCUACACUUUCCUUUCAGUCUAAUCAUUUUGCUCUAACGUGUGUGUGUAGCUUCAUUCAAUAUUUCUAAUUAUCUUGGAUCUACUAAAUAUUCAAUCAGUUCUUAUCCUAGCAAAGCUGCUGUUCUUUUCCUUUUUCAGACAACCUUAAGAUUGAGGAUGAUUUGUUUCCACUUUUAUUUUGUGGAUAUUGAGGCCAAUAUGAAAUCCAGACUCCAAACCCUUCCAUAAACGGAGUUGUUAGACAGGAGUUGUUGGACAUUUGUGAAGCGGUCCUCUCCUUCUUCCUCAUACACAUGUUCCUAAUGCACGGUCUCAAGAUUCCUGAUACCAUCCCAAAUGUUUUUUUCCCCACUUUAAUUAGUCACAGACCAGCGAUUCCCGCGAGACAAUGAGUUGUUGCAUUUUGUCAAGGAGGCUUACAGCACAUCCUUAAAUUCUUUCUACAGCUGCUAAUCUCUUCACCUGAGAGAACUUGGAAUAGGAUGUCUACUUUGGGAGUUUGGUGUUGGGUAAGGGACCUGUCCAAUGUAGCCAACAGCUUCCUAUAUUUAUGAAGUGUUAAGUGCGGGCUCACUUUUAACAUUUAAGAAAAACUUGGACAGAUACAUGGCUGAGAGGUGUAUGGAGGGAUAUGGGCCAAGUGCAGGUCAGUGGGACUAGGCAGAAAAAUGGUUUGGCACAGCCAAGAAGGGCUAAAAGGCCUGUUUCUGUGCUGUAAUGUUCUAUUGUUCUAUGGUUCUAUAUCAUAAAAUAAAGUACAGUGUGUAAUAGAAAUAUUAGAAAGAGACAUAUGAUGCCUCACUUGAAGUUUUCCAAAAGGGUCACACAACUUAAUUGCUUCUUUAGAACCGCCAUUAAUGACUAAUUUAGCUUUCCUCCUUUUAGAAGAGCAUGACCAAUCCAGCUUCUAUUCAGUAAAUGAUUUAGGGCCUCAGUCCAGGGAUUGUUAACCUGAAAGGAGAGGCUGACAUUCAUUCACCUAACCUUCCAGUGAAAUUUGUACCUUUGUGGUUACUGUGUCAGUAAAAGGUCUACACACAGAAAUCCCAACAAAACGAAAAAAAACCCCAUCAGAAUCAGGUUUAAUUUCACUGGCAUACGUCAUGAAAUCUGUUAACUUUGCUACAUUUUUACAAUUUACAAUAUUUUACAACAUUGAAUCACAGUGGAUUUAAUUUGGCCUUUUUGACAGAUCAACAGAAAAAAGACACUUUUGUGUCAAAGUAAAAACAGAUCUCUACAAAGUGAUCUAAGUUAAUUAAAGACAUAAAAUAGUUGAUUGCAAAAGUAUUCAUCCCCUUUAAUAUGACACAACAAUUCAUCACGGGUGCAGCCAGCAGGUUUCAGAAAUCACAUAAAUUAGUUAAAUGGAGAUCAAUGUGUUUCAAUUGAUCGUAGUAAAAAUUCACCUUAAUCAGGAAGGUCCAACUGCUGGUGAGUCACUAUCCUAACAAAAACAACACCAUGAAGACUAAGGAACACUCCAACCAAUUCCAUAAGAGGUUAUUAAGCACAGGUCAGGAGAUGGAUACAAGAAAAUUUCCAAGUCACUGAAUAUCCCUUGGAGGACAGUUAGGUCAAUCAUCAGGAAAUGGAAAGAAUAUGGCACAGCUGUAAAUCUGCCCAGAGCAGGCCGUCCUCAAAAACUGAGUGACCGUGCAAGAAUGGAUCUAGUGAGGGAGGCCACCAAGAGACCGACGACAACUCUGGAGAUGUUACAAGCUUCAGGGGGUGAAAUGGGAGAGACUGCGCAUACAACUGUUGCCCGGGUAAUUCACCUGUCACAGCCUUAUGGGAGAGCGGCAAACAGAAAGCCUCUGUAGAAAAAACUCAUAUGAAAUCUUGUCUAGAGUUUGCCAAAAGGCAUGUGGGAGACUCUGAAGUCAGCUGGAAGAAGGUUCUAUGGUCUGAUGAAACCAAAAUUGAGCUUUCUGGCCAUCAUACUAAAUGCUAUGUUUGACAUAAGCCAAACACUGCACAUUAUCAAAAACACAUUAUUCCUACCGCUAAGCAUGGUGGUGGCUGCAUCAUGCUGUGGGGAUGCUUCACUGCAGCAGCCCCUGGAAGGCUUGUGAAGGUAGAGGGUAAAAUGAAUGCGGCAAAAUACAGGGAAAUCCUGGAGGAAAACCUGAAGCAGUUUGCAAAAGAACUGCGACUUGGGAGAAGAUUUGUUUUCCAGCAAGUCAAUGACCCCAAGCACAAAGCCAAAGCUACACAGGAAUGGCUUAAUAAUAACAAAAUUAAUGGCCUGGUGUGGCCAAGUCAGAGUCCAGUCCUUAAUCCAACUGAGAAUAUGUGGCUGGACUUGAAAAAGGGCUGUUCACUCAUAUUUCCCAUGCAAUCUGGGGGAAAAUUUGCAGUGUCCAGAUGUGCAAAGCUGACAGAGACCCAUCCACACAGAUGCCAUGUUGCAAUUGCUGCCAAAGGUGCAUCUCCAUAUACUGACUUGAAGGGAGUGAAUACCUAAUGCAACCAAUCAUUGUGUAGAGAUCAGUUUUCACUUUGUCAUGAAAGAGUCUUUUUCUGUUGAUCAGUGUCAAAAAGCCAAAUUAAAUCCACUGAGAUGCAAUGCUAUAAAACAAUAAAACAUAAAAAUUUCCGAGAGAGAGAGAGUGAGAGAGUGUGUAUAUAUAUAUAUAUAUAUAUUAGUUAAAUUAAAUAGGUAACACAAAAACAGAAAUAAAGAAAGUAGUGACGUAAUGUUCAUGGGUUCAAUGUCCAUUCAGAGAGCAGAGGGGAAGAAACUGUUCCUCAGACUGAGUGUGCGCCUUCAGGCUUCUGCACCUCCUUGCUGAUGGUAACAUGAGAAGAGGGCAUGUCCUGGAUGGUGAGGGUCCUUAAUGAUUGACAUUGUCUCUUCUCCUUGAAGAUGUCUUGGAUACUACAGAGAAGGAGAAACAUUUAGGAUCAAAGAAGCUCCAGCACUGCAUUCAUUCUUUCACACUGGGCUGUGAUCUUUGUUUUCGUGGAAGAUGCUGUGUAUAGCAAAUGACAAGAAGGGGAAAACAGAAGUGGAAGACAGAAAAAUCAAGAGGAAUAAAUAAAUGAUGCUAUAGUGCAAAAUAAUAUUCAGGAGACUAAGAAUUACAGAUAAAAAAAGACUAAUCUGAAGUGUGGAGCAUUCAUAAUAAAGUAGAUGGGUCAAUGAACCAAAUACAGAUAGAAAAAAUGCACAGUUGGGUUUAAGGCUGAAGGGGAUGAAGAAUGGAAACCUGAAUGUGUAGAGCUAUUCAGUAUUUAGGAAGGAGAGGAGAAAGAAAACAAAAAGAAAGGUGGUGGGGUAGCGUUGCUGGUUAUACAGGAAAUCAACACAACACACACAUAAUGUUGGAGGAACUCAGUAUGAUGGGCAUCAUCUAUGGAAAGGCAUAAAGAGUUAACGUUUCGGGCCAAGACACUCCAUCAGGACUGGAAUAAAGAGUCACUGGCCCAAAACAUCAACUCUUUAUUCCUUUCCAUAGAUAACGCCUGGUCUGCUGAAAUC